GGCACGGUAGUUCAAAUGGUGGAACAUCCCUCUCAUACGGGGAAGGUUGCUGGUUCAAGUCCAGUCCGUGCUACCA
rnacentral:tRNA from 1 species